rnacentral:rRNA from 1 species
GAUGAACGCUGGCGGCGUGCCUAAUACAUGCAAGUCGAGCGAACAGACGAGGAGCUUGCUCCUCUGACGUUAGCGGCGGACGGGUGAGUAACACGUGGAUAACCUACCUAUAAGACUGGGAUAACUUCGGGAAACCGGAGCUAAUACCGUAUAAUAUAUUGAACCGCAUGGUUCAAUAGUGAAAGACGGUUUUGCUGUCACUUAUAGAUGGAUCCGCGCCGCAUUAGCUAGUUGGUAAGGUAACGGCUUACCAAGGCAACGAUGCGUAGCCGACCUGAGAGGGUGAUAGGCCACACUGGAACUGAGACACGGACCAGACUACUAAGGGAGGCAGCAGUAGGGAAUCGUCGGCAAUGGGCGAAAGCCUGACGGAGCAACGCCGCGUGAGUGAUGAAGGUCUUCGGAUCGUAAAACUCUGUUAUUAGGGAAGAACAAAUGUGUAAGUAAAUAUGCAGGUCUUGACGGUACCUAAUCAGAAAGCCACGGCUAACUACGUG